rnacentral:lncRNA from 1 species
CUGUAGUCUGUCCCCCUUGGGGACAGGGACUCGUUGCUCAUGUUCACCCGGCAGGAAUUCUGGGAGUCAGUCUGCAAGGGUGGUGGGCGUUGCUCACCUGGGAGAAGCCUUUAGAGUGGGCGUUGAGCAGGCCAUUAGCUCGUGCCCUGAGGAGGUGCAUGGGCGGCAUGGGCUCUCCAUGGAAAUUAUGUGGGCGCGAAUGGAUGUGGCUCUGCGCUCACCUGGGCGAGGACUUCUGGCCGGUGCCGGGGCACUCUGCAUGACCCUGGCAGAAUCGAGCUGCCCUGACUAUGAAAGGGGAAGAAGAGCAUGCCUGACCCUCCACC